rnacentral:lncRNA from 1 species
UGGCGGAAUGGAUGUCGGCGUCGCAGGCGACGCAGAGUGCGGCGGCGUCCGCCUUGCAGGUGACGGCGGCAGGGGCCUGGUCGCAGACCUCGCACAUCCAGACGCGCUCGUGGCGCGUGGUGAGCUUGUUGGCGGCGUGGAUCCUGGCGUCGCAGGGCAGGCAGAGAAAGACCAGGUCGGCUCUGCAGAACAAGGCCGCCGUCGAGUUCUUGCAGGAGUCGCAGAGCUUCGCGACUAAGCCGACGGCCGGCGCGCUCCACCCGCCUUGGAGGCCCAUGGAUAUCUUCAAAACGAGGUCGGAGGGAGCAGCUUUG